rnacentral:rRNA from 1 species
AGAGCGAACGCUGGCGGCAGGCUUAAUACAUGCAAGUCGAGCGCCUGUAGCAAUACAGGAGCGGCAGACGGGUGAGUAACGCGUGGGAACGUACCCUUUGGUUCGGAACAACACAGGGAAACUUGUGCUAAUACCGGAUAAGCCCUUACGGGGAAAGAUUUAUCGCCGAAGGAUCGGCCCGCGUCUGAUUAGCUAGUUGGUGAGGUAACGGCUCACCAAGGCGACGAUCAGUAGCUGGUCUGAGAGGAUGAUCAGCCACACUGGGACUGAGACACGGCCCAGACUCCUACGGGAGGCAGCAGUAGGGAAUAUUGGACAAUGGGGGCAACCCUGAUCCAGCCAUGCCGCGUGAGUGAUGAAGGCCUUAGGGUUGUAAAGCUCUUUUGUGCGGGAAGAUAAUGACGGUACCGCAAGAAUAAGCCCGGCUAACUUCGCGCCAGCAGCCGC